UUCUUCUGCAAUAUUUUACUUUUUACUUAGCAGUUAGGAAUCUUGACCAUUGGCUUUUCUUUCUUCUGCAAUAUUUUACUUUUUACUUUCCUCUAUCUCUGUAGUGUCUCUUCCAUACGCCCCCUUUCUCUCUCUUCUUUCAUCUUCACUUUCUCUAAAACCAUCAACAAUGAGCAACUUCUGAGCUUGCUCAUCUCCAUCAAAUGCAGUUGAAUUUUUUCAAGUGAUGGCUAUCCAAUUUAGCUGUGACCACUGAACAAGGCAAUUCGUAGGUUUUCGGUGUCGGAAACUUGCACGCUUUCUCUAUCUCAGUUUGAAGGUGAAAUGAUCGGUCAAAGAUUUAUGUUUUUUGUUACCUGUCAGUUUGAAGGUGAGUAUCUCGUUGCUAAGAAAAAGAGGAGAGAAAAUGCGAUGAUCGCGGCAGAGGUAAUGGUGGUGGUGAAGUUUUCGGCAGACUGCCGCCAUCUCAAGACUGCAACCACUUAAAAUAUAAAUGAAACUCAUAAACUUGUAAUGUAUUUUCUCUCCCUUUCAAUUUGCUGUGGUUGAAUAGGAAGGUGGAAAAUUGCUCAUUUCUUAAAAAUUAGGCUUUAAUUUUAAUAAACAAAACUUCUAAAUGGAAACUUCUUAAUUCAGGCAUUCUUUUUUGUCAUCAAAUUUUAAUUUUUGAGUUUUCUUCUUAUUUUGUUUAUAAUGUUCAUCGGUGUUGAGUUUCUACUUUAGUUGAGCUUUGUCAUUCAUCUGAGUAUCUAUGUGAAAUGAUCUGAUAUAACUCAUAAUUUUUUUUCUUUUCUCUUAAAUUUAGUAUUCUGGUAGUAUGAUUUUAUAUGAUAGUAUUUGUUAGUUCAAUUAUGCUUGCAUUUGUAUAAUUGAUCAUUAUCUCAUAAAACCCAAAAGGGAUUUUAUUUUAAAUAAAAAUAAAAAUUAGGGGUUUCUGAUUUAUUUCAGAUUGUUUAGAUUUUAAGGGGUUUUGUCAAUUCAAUUCAGUUUGUUUUAAAAAUGGUUUUAUUUUCUGAUUCAAUUCAAUUAGUUCAUAAUUUUGGGAUGGUUUGAUUCAAUUUGGUAUAUAAAACAGGUUUCAGAUUAAUGUUACAAAUCUCAUUGAUUUUGGAAACAAUAUAAAUCUACUUCAAUUAAUGUUCAUGGCACAAACGGUGUCUUUAUUGUGGCAUAGGGUCUGAUGCUCAAUGAUGAGAAUCAUUAGAUAAUAGUUGCCUUAAGAUACAAUUGGUCUUGAGUGAUAUUGAUAUUGUCGGAAUUUGUCAUGAAUUUACAACCUUUUGAAGUUGUUUGUUCUUUCCGAAAAAUUGACAAGGAAGUAUUUUUGGUGUUAGAAGUCUGAAAGGGCACAAAUUUCUAAUUAGACUUGGUUAUUGUAUUUAAUUUGCCAAGAUCAGAGAAGAAUGAGAAAUUAUUCUCCUUUGUCUUUGUUGUAAGAUUAAAUUUUCUCUUUCAAAUUAUAAUUUGUGGACUUGCUUCAUUCUUUCUGGAAAUGCAAUUAGAUUUUGUGCAGAACCCAUUAGAGAUAUUCCUUUAUUAGUUUGGUUUUAACUUUUUAUUUGAGGGCUUGAUGUGUUGUUUGAUAUGAAAAGGAAGGUCAAAGUACCGGAGUUUUUGAAUGGUAAAGGGAAAGGAGUAGAGGCUCAUGUGGGGAAGCUUGAGUUUGAGUUUGGGGACCUUCAAAAGUUGCUUGUCGUUCGCACUCUUAAGCUCAAGAAGCUUGAUUUUCCAUGUAAAAAUAUAUUAGCAGUGCAAGAGUUAAAAUACUUUGGGGGAAGUUGCCAAAUCGUACAUGUUCAUCACUAUCACGUGUAUCCCAUCGAGCAACAAGAUGGACAACCGUAUUACUUGCUCUACGUACAUGAGUUCUCUACAAUUCUGAAGAUAUUUCUUCACCAUUGUAGUUUUGGUUUAGGCAUAUAAUUUUUUUUUUGAAAUAUUUAGGGAUAUAUUAUUAUAUUUUAAGUAGCAAGUAUGGUAUUAAGCUUAUUAUUUGACGUAAUAUCUUAUUUAUUCAUCUUCUAGGAAAUUGCUCAUACAGAUUUGCCACCAACUUAUUCCAUCAGAUUAGGUCUUGCGAACCUUGAAUGUAUUUCACGUAAUUUAGCUUAGCUUUUGUAUGCCUGUUUAUGUAAUCAAUUUUAUUCCCAGGUGUUACUAAUUGCUAUACAUUGGUUAUAUACUGAUGCCUUCAAUUUGACAA